UUAUUCUUUGUAUGAUGACAUAGUGAGCAAUAAAAAUAAAUUUCCUCAACUAUUUCACAUUCUUUCUGUUAUUCUAAUAACAAAACAAUGCUUUGCAAAAUAGAAAAUUAGAUUAGAGUGACUAUUAAAACACUGAAUUUCUUCAACCUACUGGUGUAAUCAACUACAGUUCAAUAAAUAUUUUGUAAAUUAACAGUAAUUUUUUAUAUCACUACAGUAAAAUUAUUAAAAUCUUAAUUCAAAAAUAAAAUUCAUUUUGUAAAAUGUCAUUUCCAAUGAUCUAAAUAGGAUGCACUUAAAUGCUAUUCCAAACCUCAUCAACUUUACAUUUUGUAGCAAAACAUUAAAAAAAAUUUACAAAAACAAAAAGGGGGAGAUGAGAGUAUGGAUAAAAUCACUCCUGCGGUCCGUCUCUCCCGUGUGUUUUGUUUACCUUGAAUUAUUUAAAUUUUUAUGAGAAACUUGAUGGCCCUCCUGCAGAAAAACAUUUCUUCAGCCCUCCUACUAUGUCCAAAUAUAUUUUUACUAAAAGUCCUCCUGUGUGGUGGAAGGACCCUGUGACAGGGCAGUGGACAAUAGGAAAAUUGUUAACAUGGGGGCGAGGGUUUGCUUGUGUCUCUCCAGGUGAAGAUCAAACUCCUAUUUGGGUGCCCACUCAACACUUAAAACCGUACCAUGAGCGGGAAAAAGAGAAAGUUCAUGUGGGACAUAAAACCUCUGGUGAUGCAAAUGGAGGGCCUCUUGCUGAAAAUGAUUCGCAUCGGACCAAUGCCAGCCACCACUGAGGCUUCUCCUCCUACAUAGGGACAAAAUUAAAAAUUUGUGCCAACAGGCUGAAUGGCUGGUACAACAGGAGCAUCAGCGGUUCACCGCCUCUAAUCUGGUGAUAGCUUUAUUUGCUAUUAUAACCACUACUGUAAGUAUGCCUCCUUUAGUAAAUGCCCAUGCUCAUAAUUAUGCAUAUUGGGCAUAUAUCCCCAAUCUUCCUCUAUUACGGCCUGUGAAAUGGAAAUGGAAUGAUCCAGCCCCUCUUAUUUAUCUCAAUGAUACAGCAUGGCUUCCUGGCCCGGAGGAUGACAGGCUACCAGAACAUCCUAAAGAGGAAGUCACUCAGUAUAAUUCUACUUUGGCCUUCUUACAUUUACCGCUAUGUUUGGGACAUGGGAAAAAAUGUUUGUCUUUUGAACAACAAGCAUGGCUUUCAAUGAUUCCAAAGCAUGGAAAUGUCUCUCAUUCUAUGUUAUAUUUGUUGACAGGUCAGAGUUUUGCAUACCAACAUAAUAGUAGUAUAAACGAUGGAACUCCACAGCAUCCUGUCUGCCAAGCGCCAAAGUAUUGCUCUCCAGACUUAAUGAGUAUACAUUGGGAAACUUGUCGAGGGACUAAUGGUGUGAUACUGCUUAAUGGUUCCUAUGGAAUUGUAACUGACUGGUCCCCUAAGGGGUUCGCAGUGCAGAACUGCAGUGGCUGAAACGAGUCCUGCUCGGCACAUGAACAUCCUCCGAUGCACAAGACAAGCAGUCUCUGAUUUAACUGAGAAACCUGCAAUCCCAGCCAUCAUGUCUGCAAUAAGAAAACAAAAAGGGGGACAUGUGGGAAACAGGGCCUGAUGUUUCUCCUCUCCUUCCUGCAUGCUUGAGGUGGGGGCCUAGAACACUGGGCUGCUGCCAAGACAGAACACUGUCAAGGCACACCUCGUUAAAGUAUGCCCGGAUGUGAGACUGUGGCUGAAGGACCGUUUUCUGUUAUUGUCCUUGAGAUUAAGAUAAGAGCCAUUUGCAGACUGAUGUAAACAACCAUGGGAAAAUGUCUACGUGCACAGUAAAGCAUUACUCUACCCUAAAAGCAUAAUAAAUAAGGGUCUUGGAAAUGGGACUCACACACUCACCCAACAGGCGGCGUGUCCCCUGCUCCCAGUCUCUCAAAGAUA